GACGAACGCUGGCGGCGUGCUUAACACAUGCAAGUCGAGCGGUAAGGCCCUUUCGGGGGUACACGAGCGGCGAACGGGUGAGUAACACGUGGGCGACCUGCCCUCAGCUCUGGGAUAAGCCUGGGAAACCGGGUCUAAUACUGGAUAUGACUCCAUGACGCAUGUUGUGGGGUGGAAAGCCUUGUGCGGCUGAGGAUGGGCCCGCGGCCUAUCAGCUUGUUGGUGGGGUGANGGCCUACCAAGGCGACGACGGGUAGCCGGCCUGAGAGGGCGACCGGCCACACUGGGACUGAGACACGGCCCAGACUCCUACGGGAGGCAGCAGUGGGGAAUCUUGCGCAAUGGGCGAAAGCCUGACGCAGCGACGCCGCGUGAGGGAUGACGGCCUGG
rnacentral:rRNA from 1 species